GAAACCAACAGGGAUUGCCCCAGUAACGGCGAGUGAAGCGGCAACAGCUCAAAUUUGAAAUCUGGCGCAAGCCCGAGUUGUAAUUUGCAGAGGAUGCUUCAGGGCAGCGACCGGUCUAAGUUCCUUGGAACAGGACGUCGUAGAGGGUGAGAAUCCCGUAUGCGACCGGUUGGCACCCGUCACGUAGCUCCUUCGACGAGUCGAGUUGUUUGGGAAUGCAGCUCUAAAUGGGAGGUAAAUUUCUUCUAAAGCUAAAUACCGGCCAGAGACCGAUAGCGCACAAGUAGAGUGAUCGAAAGAUGAAAAGCACUUUGGAAAGAGAGUUAAAAAGCACGUGAAAUUGUUGAAAGGGAAGCGCAUGCAACCAGACUUGUCGGCGGUGUUCCGCCGGUCUUCUGACCGGUCCACUCGCCGCCGGCAGGCCAGCAUCAUCUGGGCGCGCCGGACAAAGGCGCGGGGAAUGUAGCUCCUCGGAGUGUUAUAGCCCCGCGCACAAUACGGCGCCGCUCGGGUGAGGUCCGCGCUUCGGCUAGGAUGCUGGCGUAAUGGUUGUCUGCGGCCCGUCUUGAAACACGGACCAAGGAGUCUAACAUCUAUGCGAGUGUUCGGGUGUCAAACCCCUACGCGGAAUGAAAGUGAACGGAGGUGGGAAGCGCAAGCUGCACCAUCGACCGAUCCUGAUGUCUUCGGAUGGAUUUGAGUAAGAGCAUAGCUGUUGGGACCCGAAAGAUGGUGAACUAUGCCUGAAUAGGGUGAAGCCAGAGGAAACUCUGGUGGAGGCUCGCAGCGGUUCUGACGUGCAAAUCGAUCGUCAAAUUUGGGUAUAGGGGCGAAAGACUAAUCGAACCAUCUAGUAGCUG
rnacentral:rRNA from 1 species